AUUGAACGCUGGCGGCAUGCCUUACACAUGCAAGUCGAACGGCAGCACGGGGGCAACCCUGGUGGCGAGUGGCGAACGGGUGAGUAAUGCAUCGGAACGUGCCCAGUAGUGGGGGAUAGCCCGGCGAAAGCCGGAUUAAUACCGCAUACGUACUGAGGUAGAAAGCGGGGGACCGAAAGGCCUCGCGCUAUUGGAGCGGCCGAUGUCGGAUUAGCUUGUUGGUGGGGUAAUGGCCUACCAAGGCGACGAUCCGUAACUGGUCUGAGAGGACGACCAGUCACACUGGGACUGAGACACGGCCCAGACUCCUACGGGAGGCAGCAGUGGGGAAUUUUGGACAAUGGGCGAAAGCCUGAUCCAGCAAUGCCGCGUGUGUGAAGAAGGCCUUCGGGUUGUAAAGCACUUUGUCCGGAAGAAAUACCGUCUGGCUAAUACCCGGACGGGAUGACGGUACCGGAAGAAUAAGCACCGGCUAACUACGUGCCAGCAGCCGCGGUAAU
rnacentral:rRNA from 1 species